rnacentral:rRNA from 1 species
UAGGUGAACCUGCGGAAGGAUCAUUAUCCUUUUAUCGGAGGGUUGAUGCCAACGCUCUGGGCUCAUGCUCGGUUCACUGGCUCAUCUCUUUCUGAUUCUACCCAUGUUUUUUGCGUACUACUUGUUUCCUUGGUGGGCUUGCCUACCAAUAGGACAUAUUAAAACCUUUUGUAAUUGCAGUCAGCGUCAGUAACAAUGUAAUAAUUACAACUUUCAACAACGGAUCUCUUGGUUCUGGCAUCGAUGAAGAACGCAGCGAAAUGCGAUAAGUAGUGUGAAUUGCAGAAUUCAGUGAAUCAUCGAAUCUUUGAACGCACAUUGCGCCCCUUGGUAUUCCAUGGGGCAUGCCUGUUCGAGCGUCAUUUGUACCCUCAAGCACUGCUUGGUGUUGGGUGUAUGUUUUCCUUGCGCUUGCGUAAGUGAGGACUCGCCUUAAAACAAUUGGCAGCCGGCAUAUUGGCCUGGAGCGCAGCACAUUUUGCGCCUCUUGUCAUGAUUGUUGGCAUCCAUCAAGACCUUUUAUUAGCUCUUGACCUCGGAUCAGGUAGGGAUACCCGCUGAACUUAAGCAUAUCAAUAAGCGGAGGAAAAGAAACCAACAGGGAUUGCCCUAGUAACGGCGAGUGAAGCGGCAACAGCUCAAAUUUGAAAUCUGGCUCUUUUAGAGUCCGAGUUGUAAUUUGCAGAGGGCGCUUUGGCGUUGGCAGCGGUCCAAGUUCCUUGGAACAGGACGUCACAGAGGGUGAGAAUCCCGUACGUGGUCGCUGGCCUUCGCCGUGUAAAGCCCCUUCGACGAGUCGAGUUGUUUGGGAAUGCAGCUCUAAAUGGGAGGUAAAUUUCUUCUAAAGCUAAAUACUGGCCAGAGACCGAUAGCGCACAAGUAGAGUGAUCGAAAGAUGAAAAGCACUUUGGAAAGAGAGUCAAAUAGCACGUGAAAUUGUUGAAAGGGAAGCGCUUGCAGCCAGACUUGCCUGUAGUUGCUCAUCCGGGCUUUUGCCCGGUGCACUCUUCUAUAGGCAGGCCAGCAUCAGUUUGGGCGGUUGGAUAAAGGUCUCUGUCAUGUACCUCUCUUCGGGGAGGCCUUAUAGGGGAGACGACAUGCAACCAGCCUGGACUGAGGUCCGCGCAUUUGCUAGGAUG